AGAGCUUGCUCUCGGGUGACGAGUGGCGGACGGGUGAGUAAUGUCUGGGAAACUGCCUGAUGGAGGGGGAUAACUACUGGAAACGGUAGCUAAUACCGCAUAACGUCGCAAGACCAAAGAGGGGGACCUUCGGGCCUCUUGCCAUCAGAUGUGCCCAGAUGGGAUUAGCUAGUAGGUGGGGUAAUGGCUCACCUAGGCGACGAUCCCUAGCUGGUCUGAGAGGAUGACCAGCCACACUGGAACUGAGACACGGUCCAGACUCCUACGGGAGGCAGCAGUGGGGAAUAUUGCACAAUGGGCGCAAGCCUGAUGCAGCCAUGCCGCGUGUAUGAAGAAGGCCUUCGGGUUGUAAAGUACUUUCAGCGGGGAGGAAGGUGUUGUGGUUAAUAACCACAGCAAUUGACGUUACCCGCAGAAGAAGCACCGGCUAACUCCGUGCCAGCAGCCGCGGUAAUACGGAGGGUGCAAGCGUUAAUCGGAAUUACUGGGCGUAAAGCGCACGCAGGCGGUCUGUCAAGUCGGAUGUGAAAUCCCCGGGCUCAACCUGGGAACUGCAUUCGAAACUGGCAG
rnacentral:rRNA from 1 species